rnacentral:rRNA from 1 species
GAUGAACGCUGGCGGCGUGCCUAAUACAUGCAAGUCGAGCGAACGGACGAGAAGCUUGCUUCUCUGAUGUUAGCGGCGGACGGGUGAGUAACACGUGGAUAACCUACCUAUAAGACUGGGAUAACUUCGGGAAACCGGAGCUAAUACCGGAUAAUAUUUUGAACCGCAUGGUUCAAAAGUGAAAGACGGUCUUGCUGUCACUUAUAGAUGGAUCCGCGCUGCAUUAGCUAGUUGGUAAGGUAACGGCUUACCAAGGCAACGAUGCAUAGCCGACCUGAGAGGGGGAUCGGCCACACUGGAACUGGAACACGGGCCAGACUCCUACGGGAGGCAGCAGUAGGGAAUCUUCCGCAAUGGGCGGAAGCCUGACGGAGCAACGCCGCGUGAGUGAUGAAGGUCUUCGGAUCGUAAAACUCUGGUAUUAGGGAAGAACAUAUGUGUAAGGAACUGUGCACAGCUUGACGGUACCUAAUCAGAAAGCCACGGCUAACUACGUG